rnacentral:misc_RNA from 1 species
CACGUAUACACAGCCAACUUCAUCUGGAGACUCAUCAUCUCCCUGUCAAAACUCAACUGAGUAAUCCAUAUGAAAGAAGAAUAUGAAGAAAAGAAACAUCUGUAAAAAUGGUAUCCCAUUAGUUAAUUCCUUCCAAAGAGAAUUACCAAAAAUAUUAAACAUAAAAAGGCAAAUAUUCGUGCACUUUCUGUGAAACUAUAACCUAAGGAGACAAAAUAAAAUUUCCUGAAGCUCAAAGGCAACCUACUUGAGCUACUUUGAGGACAAAAUUCUGCCACAAACAAAGCAAGAAAAAAAAAAACAACUACCCAUUACAGUCACUGAUUUCUGAUAAGCAACCUCUUCUCCUCUUUUUUUCCUUCUUGAGCGGUCAGAUCUGGAGCAAUAACUAAUCAAAGACGUUGCAAGUUUUAUAGACAAAAAGGGCCACAUAUUAGAACAGACUAUUAGUUGGCGGAGAAGAAAAAAGGCAAGAUCUAGCAGGACGUAGAUCACCAGUUAGCAGAAUCUGUGCAUCACCAGUCAAGCGCAUCUAUGAUCACCUUUCAAGUCACUAAUGUACAAAAGCAGGCGAUUUUGUGUCAUGCCAUUCUGAAAUGUUCAUUGUUCACCAAUGAAAUUAAUUUUCCCUGGAUCACCAUCUACUUCUUCGACGGUUGGUGUUCUGCCAUCUGUCAAUAGCAAUCAGUUCACACAAAAAUAUUUGACAAAGCAGAUGAUAAAUUGUUAUACCAUCGAUCAAUCCCUCCGUCAAAUGCAUAACGUACACAAUACUAAACCACAAAAUGUUAUUAAAAAAAAAAAAUCCAUUUGAUCCUUGUUGCAUUCUUUUUUGCCCAUGGACCAGAUGCAAAAAAAGGGGUGCAUUCUCUCCUUCUCAUUAGAAACCCCAUCUCUAGCUGAGUGGGAUUUUGCCCCGUCUUCGGUAUAACCCUAUGAGAAAUUACCAUCAGGCCAAGCUGCCCCCACCUCUUACAGCACUUGAGGAAAAAAGGGCUGCCAACUAUCAAUCUUAAACAUUCGGUUGCAGAUUUUGCAUUAGCAGGACAGCAAAGAAAUCAGUCCAAAGUCCAAACAAUGAACUGAG